rnacentral:tRNA from 2 species
CGGGCUGUAGCGCAGUCUGGCUAGCGCGCCUGCUUGGGGUGUAGGAGGUCGUGGGUUCAAAUCCCGCCAGCCCGA